rnacentral:tRNA from 2 species
CGGUACGUAGCGCAGCCUGGUAGCGCACCGUCAUGGGGUGUCGGGGGUCGGAGGUUCAAAUCCUCUCGUGCCGACCA